GGUAAGGUGACCGAGUGGAUAAGGCGGAUUGCUUAAGAGGCACGUGACCUGGAAACGAUCUGACGAAAGUCAUCCUGGGAUCAAAACCCAGUCUUACCA